rnacentral:rRNA from 1 species
GUAGUCUCGCACAGAUGCAUAUCAAUAAGCGGAGGAAAAGAAACUAACAAGGAUUCCCCUAGUAACGGCGAGUGAAGCGGGAAGAGCUCAAAUUUGAAAUCUUAAAGGGUUUCCCUUUACGAAUUGUAGUUUAAAGAAGUGUUUUCUGUUGAGGUUUUGGUAAAAGUUCUUUGGAAUAGGACAUCAUAGAGGGUGAGAAUCCCGUAUUUGACCUUUACUUUCAACUUUGUGAUACACUUUCAAAGAGUCGGACUGUUUGGGAAUGCAGUCCAAAAUGGGUGGUAAAUUUCAUCUAAAGCUAAAUAUUGGCGAGAGACCGAUAGCGAACAAGUACCGUGAGGGAAAGAUGAAAAGAACUUUGAAAAGAGAGUUAAACAGUACGUGAAAUUGUCAAAAGGGAAGCGUUUGACACCAGUGUUGUUUUUCUGAAAAUCAAUUAAAGAACUGUUUAUGCUAAGCUGUUUAGACUUUAUCAGCUAACUGUUUAGUUUUGAGCUUUUCUUUAAUGCACUUUUCAGUUAACAAGUCAACAUCAAUUUCUUUUGCCUGUAAGAAAGCUUGAGGAAGGUGGCUUGAGAUUCGUCUUAAGUGUUUAUAGCCUCUUGCCUAUGCAGUCGGAGAGAUUGAGGUCUGCAGCGUAGAUCCUUCGGGGCUAAAUGCAUUUGUGCUAAGUUAUAGCAUUUUAUAGACAACUUGUUGACUAUGAUUUGUCUUGUAGCUUACUCGCUUAUGUUAUUUUACCUACGCUUAGGAUGUUGAAGACUCUACAGAGAUA